CAUAGAGAGUCGGUCCGCUCCUCCUUACCUGACGGUUGGUGGUGGGUUGCUCUUCUGUUCCAGAGAAAAAGGAGAGAUUGCAGAGAGAGGCAAAGGCUGCUGCUGUGAGAAGCUCAGGCAUAAAGGUUAUUGGUCUUGACAACACUGAGUUUUGAUGCCACCAUGUGAAGAAACUCAAUGUACUCAGCAAAGACAUGCAGAUGCAGACCUUCUGGCCUUCCUCCCAGCUGGUCCAGAGGUCUCCGCGUGUGAGGAAGCAGGCCACCAUAUGUCUGGCC